AUAUAUAUAUAUAUACACACAUAUAUGUGUGUGGGUGUGUAUGUAUGUAUGCAUGUUAAUCAGGAAAUGCUAGCUGUGGCAGUGCAGGUUUACAGUUGUUUUGAUGAUUUGAUUAUUGCAAUGCAAAUUUUUCUAUUACAUCUAAAUGUAAAUAUAAAAAUUAAUGUCAGCUCCAAUUUGAGUCUUUUGCAGGUCUCAAUUCUGGAUGGACCUGAUGGAGGAUCUGAGGGAGAGACAUCUCUUCAGUGGCAGUCAUCAGCACACAUGUCUAGUGCGGUUUGUGUUCAUGGAUGUGCCACAAAAGGACCUUGAUGAAUGCAGGGAAAGGUGGAACACACAUACCAUCAGACCUGUUAAGCAGUCUCGCUGUCCAUCUGGUAAACCAGAUGUCAUGUACUACUUGCCUCACAGGUUUGGUGGAACUGACUGUGGGUUCCCCAUUUCACAUGAAGAGUUGGGCCAGUUUAUGACUGAGUCAACCUGCAGUCCAUGUGGAGAUGACCAUCUCCAGGCACACUUUGAAGCCCUACAGAGACAGAGUGGUCUGAUGCAGCCAUUGACCUGGGAAUCGUGUGUGGAGAACUAUAUAACACUGAAGAACAUGGCGAAUAUGUAAUUAAACGUGCUGCUGACUGGGAAGCGAGAUGUUGACUGAAAAAUCAGCUUGGGUUGUGGCUGAAUUCCAGCAGGGGGCAGUGUGUUCAGUCCCGUAGCAAACAUCGAGAUGUCCUGGAGGGAGAGCCCUGUUUGUUGUUCUGAAAAAAAUAAAAAUAUUGUGUUGUGUUAAGCUAAAUAUAUUUUAAUACAGCUGAUAUCUACAGAAAAUUGAUGAAGAUAACUGUUCCAAAUAAAAUAAACCUUCUGUCUCAAGGAGAUAGUCUCUCCAAAAUCC